rnacentral:rRNA from 1 species
ACCCAGACUCCUACGGGAGGCAGCAGUGGGGAAUAUUGCACAAUGGGGGGAACCCUGAUGCAGCGAUGCCGCGUGGAGGAAGAAGGUUUUCGGAUUGUAAACUCCUUUUAUCAGGGACGAUAAUGACGGUACCUGAAGAAAAAGCUCCGGCUAACUACGUGCCAGCAGCCGCGGUAAUACGUAGGGAGCGAGCGUUGUCCGGAAUUACUGGGUGUAAAGGGAGCGUAGACGGCAGAGCAAGUCUGAAGUGAAAGCCCGCGGCCCAACUGCGGGACUGCUUUGGAAACUGCCCGGCUAGAGUGCUGGAGAGGUAAGCGGAAUUCCUAGUGUAGCGGUGAAAUGCGUAGAUAUUAGGAGGAACACCAGUGGCGAAGGCGGCUUACUGGACAGUAACUGACGUUGAGGCUCGAAAGCGUGGGGAGCAAACAGGAUUAGAUACCCUAGUAAAC